rnacentral:rRNA from 1 species
AUACAUGCAAGUCGAACGAAGUAGCAAUACUUAGUGGCAGACGGGUGAGUAACAUGUGGGUAUCUUCCCCUUUGGUGAGGAAUAACACGAGGAAACUUGUGCUAAUACCUCAUAAGUCUUUACGGAGAAAGCUUUAUGCGCCAAUGGAUGAGCCCGCACUUGAUUAGUUUGUUGGUAGGGUAAUGGCCUACCAAGACUGUGAUCAAUAGCUGAUCUGAGAGGAUGAUCAGCCACAUUGGGACUGAGACACGGCCCAAACUCCUACGGGAGGCAGCAGUAGGGAAUAUUGCACAAUGGAGGAAACUCUGAUGCAGCGAUGCCGCGUGAGUGAAGAAGGCCCUUGGGUUGUAAAGCUCUUUCGUCGGGGAAGAAAAUGACUGUACCCGAAUAAGAAGGUCCGGCUAACUUCGUGCCAGCAGCCGCGGUAAUACGAAGGGACCUAGCGUAGUUCGGAAUUACUGGGCUUAAAGAGUUCGUAGGUGGUUAAAAAAGUUGGUUGUGAAAUCCCGAAGCUUAACUUCGGAACUGCAAUCAAAACUUUUUAGCUAGAGUUUGAUAGAGGAAAGCAGAAUUUCUAGUGUAGAGGUGAAAUUCGUAGAUAUUAGAAAGAAUACCGAUUGCGAAGGCAGCUUUCUGGAUCAUUACUGACACUGAGGAACGAAAGCAUGGGUAGCGAAGAGGAUUAGAUACCCUCGUAGUCCAUGCUGUAAACGAUGUGUGUUAGACGUUGGAAAUUUAUUUUCAGUGUCGCAGCGAAAGCAGUAAACACACCGCCUGGGGAGUACGACCGCAAGGUUAAAACUCAAAUGAAUUGACGGGGACCCGCACAAGUAGUGGAGCAUGUGGUUUAAUUCGAAGAUACGCGCAGAACCUUACCAACACGUGACAUGUUCGUCGCGACUCUAAGAGAUUAGAG